GAGGAUGAGUGUUUUGGCAUAUAUACCAAUUCACGUUUCGGUCGGUCACCUAUUAUAUACCUCGGUAUCCCUGGUGUUCCUUCCUUUCUGCUCCCUAUUAUGACCUCGGUCCCUUGUGGAGUCAGAUUUCCCUGAGUUUAUGUACCUUUUCCAGGUCUUUCUCAGAUGUUGGUUGAUUGAUAUCUCUCACCCUUAUACCGGUCUUAGAUAUUCAUUCUUCCUGAGCUUGUUACCCUUGUACCGGUAAC
rnacentral:lncRNA from 1 species